rnacentral:lncRNA from 1 species
AUGUUCGGCAUUCUGACGGUCAUAACAUAUAAUUCCUGUACAACACGCUCAUAGCUAUCGAUUCGGUAUUUUAUGCCUGUAUCUGUCACGAACUUGACAAAUAAUAACUUGGAAAGGAAUGAAGCGCCGCGAGCAUCAUCGUCCGAUGAUUUGGCAAGUGGACGACAGGUGCUAGAAUGCGCAAGGAGGAAGGGGCGGGAGAGAGGGAGGGGGGAGCCAGACGGAUCUAUGGAGCCAACCGACGAAAAACAUCACCCCCCUGCAUUUUCCCUCCGCCGCGCGUCACCCCUUACCUGACGUACGAAGUGACAGACACACGCCCUUUGUCUACACCGAUUUGCUCGAUACGAAAAUACAGAAAAAUAAGUUUGCGCGAGUUCGAUUAACCUGUUUUUUAAGAAACGAAUUGUACCGAAGGACAACUGUCGUCAUUGAUUAAAUUAGGAGUUAUUUUUG